rnacentral:rRNA from 1 species
UACAGAGGGUGCGAGCGUUAAUCGGAAUUACUGGGCGUAAAGCGCACGUAGGUGGCGACGUAAGUCGGGUGUGAAAGCCCCGGGCUCAACCUGGGAAUUGCAUUCGAGACUGCAUUGCUGGAGUACGGAAGAGGAAGGCGGAAUUCCCGGUGUAGCGGUGAAAUGCGUAGAUAUCGGGAGGAACAUCAGUGGCGAAGGCGGCCAUCUGGAUCAACACUGACGCUGAGGCACGAAAGCGUGGGGAGCAAACAGG